rnacentral:tRNA from 2 species
GGCGACGUGGCGGAGUGGUGACGCAGCGGAUUGCAAAUCCGUCCACACCGGUUCGAUUCCGGUCGUCGCCUCCA